CACAGACCCGAAGAGAAGAAGUUUUGUGUUGUUGAGAUUAGGCAGCCAUGAAAUAACAGAGAGGGGCCAGGGGGCCCCACUGUGGGCCAAGCCCGCCCCCCAGGCCGGGACUACAGGAGAGCCGGUGCAGUGUUAAAACUGGACUGGAUGCUGUGGCCAAAAAGCUGGGGAGAGUAGAUGUCGGAGCAGAGCUGAUAUUGGGCUGCUGGUGGAGAAAGUGCAGCAGAAACUUGGCGAGCAGCAAAGCAUGGUGUGGAGCCAGAAUCUGUGAGUUUGCAACAGCGUAGUUAAGAAGAAAGCUCAGCAAGAAUUCAGGGGGUAUAUAAAAGACUGAGCAAAACCUAGAAAACCCUGUGACCUGGGGAGGAAGAAUGGAUCCAGUUUGGAGGAGUCCUUGAACCUUACCCCCUGGGAGGAACCCUGCGGAACAG